GACGAACGCUGGCGGCGUGCCUAACACAUGCAAGUCGAACGGGGAAUAGCAAUAUUCCUAGUGGCGAACGGGUGAGUAACGCGUAGACAACCUGCCUUCUGGACGGGGACAACGUUCCGAAAGGAGCGCUAAUACCGGAUGAGGUACCUUGGGUGCAUACCUGAGGUAAGAAAGAUGGCCUCUAUAUAUAAGCUAUCGCUAGAAGAUGGGUCUGCGUCUGAUUAGCUAGUUGGUGAGGUAACGGCUCACCAAGGCGACGAUCAGUAGCCGGUCUGAGAGGAUGAACGGCCACACUGGGACUGAGACACGGCCCAGACUCCUACGGGAGGCAGCAGUGGGGAAUCUUCCGCAAUGGACGAAAGUCUGACGGAGCAACGCCGCGUGAGUGAAGAAGGUUUUCGGAUUGUAAAGCUCUGUCUUCUAGGACGAAUGUGCUCUAUGUAAAUAAUGUAGAGUAAUGACGGUACUAGAGGAGGAAGCCACGGCUAACUACGUGCCAGCCGCCGCGGUAA
rnacentral:rRNA from 1 species